CCCGGCCCCGGGACGGGGCGUCGUCCCCGGCUGAGGCCCGGGUCAGCCCUCCGGCCGGAGCGCGGCCUCCAGGGUCGUCUCCCGGGGCCCGGGG
rnacentral:tRNA from 1 species